rnacentral:rRNA from 1 species
ACGGGAGGCAGCAGUGGGGAAUAUUGCACAAUGGGGGAAACCCUGAUGCAGCAACGCCGCGUGAGUGAAGAAGUAUUUCGGUAUGUAAAGCUCUAUCAGCAGGGAAGAAAAUGACGGUACCUGACUAAGAAGCCCCGGCUAACUACGUGCCAGCAGCCGCGGUAAUACGUAGGGGGCAAGCGUUAUCCGGAUUUACUGGGUGUAAAGGGAGCGUAGACGGCAAGGCAAGUCAGAAGUGAAAUGCGGGGGCUUAACCCCUGAACUGCUUUUGAAACUGUUUAGCUAGAGUGUCGGAGAGGUAAGUGGAAUUCCUAGUGUAGCGGUGAAAUGCGUAGAUAUUAGGAGGAACACCAGAGGCGAAGGCGGCUUACUGGACGAUUACUGACGUUGAGGCUCGAAAGCGUGGGGAGCAAACAGGAUUAGAUACCCUGGUA